GUUUGAUUCUGGCUCAGGAUGAACGCUGGCGGCAUGCCUAAUACAUGCAAGUCGAACGGAGUGAAGCCUUCGGGUUUCAUUCAGUGGCGAACGGGUGAGUAAUACGCAGGGAACCUGGCCAUGGCAGGGGGAUACACUCUGGAAACGGAGCAUAAGACCCCAUAGGCAGUAAGGCGGCAUCGCCUUGCUGUUAAAGAAAGCUGAAAGGCUUUGGCGAUGGAUGGACCUGCGGUGCAUUAGCUUGUUGGUGAGGCAACGGCUUACCAAGGCGAUGAUGCAUAGCCGGCCUGAGAGGGCGGACGGCCACACUGGGACUGAGACACGGCCCAGACUCCUGCGGGAGGCAGCAGUAGGGAAUUUUCGUCAAUGGGCGCAAGCCUGAACGAGCAAUGCCGCGUGAGUGAGGAAGGUCUUCGGACUGUAAAGCUCUGUUGCCGGGGAAAAAGGGGAAAUGCAGGAAAUGGCAUUUCAUGGAUGGUACCCGGCCAGAAAGCCACGGCUAACUACGUGCCAGCAGCCGCGGUAAUACGUAGGUGGCGAGCGUUAUCCGGAAUGAUUGGGCGUAAAGGGUGCGCAGGCGGUCUGUUAAGUCUGAAGGCAAAGGGAUGAGCUCAACUCAUUUAUGAUUCAGAAACUGGCAGACUUGAGGACAGGAGAGGGCGGUGGAACUCCAUGUGUAGCGGUAAAAUGCGCAGAGAUAUGGAAGAACACCAGUGGCGAAGGCGACCGCCUGGCCUGUGACUGACGCUGAGGCACGAAAGCGUGGGGAGCAAAUAGGAUUAGAUACCCUAGUAGUCCACGCCGUAAACGAUGAGGAGCAGGUGUUGGGAGUGAAAUCUCAGUGCCGAAGCCAACGCAGUGACUCCUCCGCCUGGGGAGUAUGCACGCAAGUGUGAAACUCAAAGGAAUUGACGGGGGCCCGCACAAGCGGUGGAGUAUGUGGUUUAAUUCGAAGCAACGCGAAGAACCUUACCAGGUUUUGACAUCGGAUGCGAAGGCGCAGAGAUGCGCUGGAGGCUAUCAUCCAGACAGGUGGUGCAUGGUUGUCGUCAGCUCGUGUCGUGAGAUGUUCAGUUAAGUCUGGCAACGAGCGCAACCCCCGUGGUAUGUUACUAACGCAUUUGGGCGAGGACUCAUAUCAGACUGCCGGUGACAAACCGGAGGAAGGCGGGGAUGACGUCAAAUCAUCAUGCCCCUUAUGACCUGGGCUACACACGUACUACAAUGGCGUCUACAGAGGGAAGCGACCCUGAGAAGGGAAGCGAAACCGGAAAAGGGCGUCCCAGUUCGGAUUGAAGUCUGCAACCCGACUUCAUGAAGAUGGAAUCGCUAGUAAUCGCGGAUCAGCAUGCCGCGGUGAAUACGUUCCCGGGCCUUGUACACACCGCCCGUCAAACCAUGGAAGCCGGCAACGCCCGAAGCCGGUGGCAUAACCUUUUAGGAGUGAGCCGUCGAAGGCGGGGCCGAUGACUGGGGUUAAGUCGUAACAAGGUACCC
rnacentral:rRNA from 1 species